GGUGGAUUCAAAAUCAGCAUAAAAGGCUUACUUCAAGAGGUUUCAAGUCAAAUUCAAGCGAAGGAGAGGAAGAGCAUCUGAAUUGGACACCUAUCUAGAAAAUAUUUAUUUGGUUCCUAGAAGGCUAAAGGACCUGUGUGCUAUGUUACUUGAAAGAGGAUUCAAGGGUU